GGUGUAAUUUGGGGGCUGUGUUUGUUUUGGGUGCCCCGUAGGACUGUAGUGAGCUGCAUGAAGAUGUCCUGUGGGGCUGUACUGGAGCGUUGGGGUUGUAGGACCUGAAGUGGGAUGUAAUUUGGGGUUGUAGUGGUGUGAGGCUAUGCCUAUGGGGCUGUGGGACUGUGAAGCCCUGUGGGGUGGCAUUGGGUAGUGGACACCGUAGAGACUGGGAUAGGACAUGGAUUGUGUCUGCAAGGCUGUACAGAGGCUGGCGGAUCCAUACCAAGGGGCUUUAGGGGAUGCUCUGAAGGGCUGCAGUGGAUUGUAGGGUCAAGGGGACACUCCACGAGCUGUGUGGGGAAGGGGCUGAAGCAAAACCCAAGCAUGAUGUGACUUCGUCCAGCUCCUGCACUGAUCCCUGUUGAAAGCAAGUGAGAGUGCUGCAACAAAAUCUGGCUGAGGAUGAAACAUUCUUGCAGCAGCCUUGGAGGCUGAACGUCAGCUGAGGAUCUCAAAAGUGAGGAGGAACAGCAAGUGCUUUGUCUCAAGACCCUUUUUUGGGACCUGAGGGAAUGGUGCUUCUACUGCAGCAGCACAGCAGAAACUUGCAUGCGAGGAGAAAAUAUUCUACCUUGGCAUUUGGAGCCUCACUAACAAGCAGCCAGAGAGGAGCGAUGCCAUAUAAAACUGUAACCUCUAAAUAUGAAAUUUUGGAGAUCGCAAUGAGCGGCGAGUGCCAGCUCCAUGCCGGCAGCAGGGAGGAGGCAGAGGGAACGCCAUCAGCUCAUUACUCGCUGCUGCACAGAGCACAUAGCCCCAGGAGUUUCUCUGCCCAGUGUCCUGUUACCACUUGAAUCAAGAUGUGAAUGCCAAGCCAGCUUAUUUUUAGCAUGAUUUGGACCUAAAGAAGCAAACGCUGGUGAAAUACAUAGUACUGACAGCUCUGGAAAAUCUUUAUUCAUCUGCAGCACAGGAAGCAGGGAAGGAUGCAAGAAAGCAAAGCAAUCCCAAGCUACAAACGAAGUUUCCCUAGCACUGCACAGAUCCUGGCAGUAGCUGGGAGAGGGUUUUUCCACGCUAAGAGCAGGCCUGGCACGGCAGGGAGGAGUGCGGUGUGCCGCAGAUUUGGACAGCCUGCAAGCCUCCAGCUGAGCUCACUGCGUCUGUUGGAGCUCAACUGCAGCAGCAGUGGGGCUGUAAAAAUGGGAGAGACUCGGAAAACUUGAGUAUCUGAGCCCUGCUCUGCUAAGCUCUGUGAGUUUACUGUGUUAAUACAACAUUGGCUCUGUGCAAAUGGGCGGUCCAGUGGUACUGAUGCUGCCCUGUACCACCUCUAGCAGUCACUCAGACCCUCUGCUCUGUGGAACAACCCAAAAAGAGGACACUUAUGACACAACCAUCAUGCCAAGCAGGCAUGUUUCUAUCCACGUCUCUUGGGUCACUGCUGAAAUCCUCCAGUGCCUUUAGGCAUCUGCAGGACCUGAGCUGGCUGGGGACUUGUAGAUCCCUGCAGGCAGCAGUUGGCUGGAGUGGAGAUGGGGCCGUGAAGGGGAGCAGAGUAGCAAAAAUGGGUCCCUUCGGCUUUUGGGGCACAGCUAGGAGGUCCCUGGAUGUGUGCCGGGAACAGUAGCUGGGGUUGUUGAAGGUGGACCACAGGAGAUGUCCCUGCAUUUCUCUGCCAGGAGGAUGCACACACAGUGUUAACACGCUUGUCAUCAGUAGGUCUGAAAUCUAACCACGGACAGCUCAGGGAUCUGACAAUUGUUUGUGUCUGCCUCGAGACAAAUAUCUCAUUGCCCCCUUUGCAAAUUUGCUCCUCUGCUGCGUGUGUGUUUCGAGUUUCCUCAUGCAAAACCUGCGUGGGUGUUUGGAUAUGUAAUGAGCACAUAGUUCAGGAUGAAAACAAGUUGCCUGGAAGAGCCAAGUAACGCCAAAAAAAUGAAAGCAAUACAAACAACAACAUGGCACACAGCCAUACCAGCUAGACCGUGGGCCAGCCGGAUCUCACGUACUCUCCGGAGCUGCAGAGCCGAUCAGCUGUUGGAAAAAGGGACCUUUAAAGACAAGUGAGAGGAAAUAGCAUUGGCAGUGCAGGUCACAGCAUGUUUCCUUCCAAAGCAGGACAGAGCCAAGGACAUGAGGCAGAGCUGUAACAUUCGGGGUCUCAUUGCUCAGCAAGUCAAAAACCUCCAGUGGGUUGUAGUUGUGUAAGUGCCUAUUGUUUUCUGAGCAGAAUCAGAGCACUGGUCUGAUUGGGUAUUGUCACAACAGAUUUUGGCAAUGCUUGCUCACCUAAGUGAGCUCCCUCUGCAAAAUGAAGCCCUGGCUUUAACUCAGUGCUCCGUGUUGGGGAAAUAAACCUGCCUGCCUACACAACUCUCUGACUGAAGAGUAUCUUCCAAGACCUCCCAUAGGAACUUUGAAGAAAAGCACCAUUAGCCUAUGGACCAGAGCAAUUCCAAAAAAUUCCCUGAAGUGGCCUCACUAAUUAUUAUCUCAUUUUGGUAAUGUGAAUGAGGAAAAAAUAGUGGUGAAGCUGUUUUGAAAUGCAUUUUCUGCAGAGCCUGAAUGAAUUUCAGUAUAGAAAGGGGGGUGAGAGCAGGCCUCAAAGACAGGUUACGUAAUUUUUCCCUUGCCCUCAUCCAUUUGGAGCAAGGGACCAUCUGUACCUCCUUAUAAUGCAGAGAAACAGUACUUCUUUCAGCAUAAGAAAAUAGGUCUAGUUGUGUAGACUCUGAACUAAGCAUCUGCUCUAGCCCAUUCACUUAAAUACCUGUCUGAGAACUCUUCACCAGCUCUUAGCGCACCUGUUCAUUGGUUAAAGGCUUGAAUCAGUGAAAUCUCACUGGCAAUCUGGAAGGUUGAAAGGGGCCUUAAAUACCAGAACUUCCAUAUGCAUAUUGGCAUUUUUCUUUGCAUAAAUGCCAGCUUUAAGAGGCUUGUUUUACAAAGCACAAACACAGUUCUAUGAUGAUUUUUUUUUUUUUUUUUUUACAUCAAGGUCAGUAACUCAGCUUCAUUCAUCAGUCUCCAGCUGCAAACAUGUCCCAGACAAUGGAGGAGAGUGAGCCAGGAAGUGCCGUUUAAGGGGAUGUGAGUGGCUCUGAACUGCACUGGGGAAAGAGGAUCUUGGUGCCCUUGUGCACUUGGCCCUUCACGAACUGAAAUAGGGCGCUUGAGGGCAGGAAAAGCUGCUUAGGUGGCACAAAUAACACUCGCACUUGGUGAGCUUCAUUAAAGGCACCUCUCAAAUGUCACCGCUGUGCUGUCGACUCUGGUGUGAUGCAGCCAACAUUGUGCUCCUCUCCACAAAGGCAGUGAGCGCUCUUAGGAAGCAGACAAGAUAAUCUCAGCUAAAAAUACUUAUUCUUCCCCUGGGAGGUGCAUGCAUCCUGUGCACGGUGCUCUCACGGCGACGUGCUUGCACACCCAGUGCACUCUGCUCAUCUUUCACUUCCGUGCUUCUCCUCCUUCCAAGUGAAGCGCUUGGGCAUUGUGAUUAGUGCUCUGAAUCACCCAGAGAGGAUGCUCCGUCCUGUGUUUCAGAUGCAAAAUGUGCCUUGGAAUUCAAUUGUUGCUAUAGUGCUGUAAUUACACAUUUUAUGGAGUAGUUAGUCAGAAUGGCUAGAGCUCUUGUUAUUAGGCUUGGACUCCUUCUGCUUUAUUUUAAAGACCUCUCUGAUAAAGAUCUACUCUCUGCAUUAAAAAUAGUUUUUUUCAGCUUUUGUGUCCCUUCAAAUGUAGCCACAGUUCAUGGCUGAAGGAAAAUAGGUCCCCAGCCAUGUGGAGGGACAGAGUUUGUAGCAUGCUUUUUGCAACAUAGGGGUUAUGGUGCUCUGGCUUUUGGUGCUCCAAAAUGUUCCUCAAAGUCAGCUGCAAUGACAACAGCUGAGUACUUCCAGGAUUCGGGAGUUCUUGAGCACUGAUCUCAGCGACUUUGCUGUCUGUGGUUUGGAGAGGACUUGCACAGCCUGCUCAGGGCACCCAUACCAACCAGGAUCGUCUUCUUCCCUUCAGCAGUAUGGAGGAAGUGGACUCUUUGGAUGCUUCUUCUAGAAGAUGACAGCCUACCACAAUGGGACACGGUUUUGGUGAGGAUGAAUCCCUGUACCAAGGUGUUGCUGUUCUUAUACCCACUCUAGAAGAAGCUCAGCAGUAUUGCAAGCAGCUGAGAUAAGCAAGAUAAGCACCAUCCUUGACAUCCCUACUCUGGUCAGCAGGGAUACUCACCACCCUACACCAUAGGGUUGGCCUUUCCCCUGUUAACCACAUUUUCUGCCCAGGUUUCCCUAUCUGGAGAGUGGAGCUAACUGCUUAAUUGCCUACUUUCUAAGGAGUCAGGCAGGAUAAUUAGCUAAUGUUUGGGUAAUGCGUCAUAGGGUAAGAGUGCUAAGUAGUAUUACUGUCAGCAACACAGUGGGAAGUGAAGAACUCAAUCUUGUUUUUCAGUCGGGAAUGUCACGGUCUUCCCUUAAGCUCAUUGUUCACAUUGAUUGCUGAGGGCAGGGGACUUGGGUGAAAAGUUUCAAGGAGGAGAAUGCCAAGGACAGCAGAAAGCUGUUUGCAAUCCAGGAGAAGAGCUAUGAGAAUAGCUUGGUGUGCUUUGGAAAGAGAAAACUGAAAAUGAUGACAAAGGCAGGGAACACGCCUGGGGCAGCACAGAAAGGACUCGUGUCUGUAAGCUUAAUUAUUCAAUAGCAACAUCCUCUGAGUCAUAAAAGUGCAUCGGGGAAAGUUUCUUGUGUUGCAUUUGUUGCAUGCAUGCAGCACUGUGGGAAGCAUGAUACAGAAACCCAUCUAGCUCUCCCUGGGGACUGAAGUAGACUCAACCUAAAAGAGAUUUAGCAUCUUUAAUUUCUAUUAUUCUGCAAAUUACGUUACAGAUGAACUUUAAACCCUUCUCAUGUCCGUUGAUCAUAAUUGAUGAGAUUUCAAUUGUGCCUCC